rnacentral:rRNA from 1 species
CGGGACACGUGGUAUCCUGUCUGAAUAUGGGGGGACCAUCCUCCAAGGCUAAAUACUCCUGACUGACCGAUAGUGAACCAGUACCGUGAGGGAAAGGCGAAAAGAACCCCGGCGAGGGGAGUGAAAAAGAACCUGAAACCGUGUACGUACAAGCAGUGGGAGCACGCUUAGGCGUGUGACUGCGUACCUUUUGUAUAAUGGGUCAGCGACUUAUAUUCUGUAGCAAGGUUAACCGAAUAGGGGAGCCGAAGGGAAACCGAGUCUUAACUGGGCGUUAAGUUGCAGGGUAUAGACCCGAAACCCGGUGAUCUAGCCAUGGGCAGGUUGAAGGUUGGGUAACACUAACUGGAGGACCGAACCGACUAAUGUUGAAAAAUUAGCGGAUGACUUGUGGCUGGGGGUGAAAGGCCAAUCAAACCGGGAGAUAGCUGGUUCUCCCCGAAAGCUAUUUAGGUAGCGCCUCGUGAAUUCAUCUCCGGGGGUAGAGCACUGUUUCGGCAAGGGGGUCAUCCCGACUUACCAACCCGAUGCAAACUGCGAAUACCGGAGAAUGUUAUCACGGGAGACACACGGCGGGUGCUAACGUCCGUCGUGAAGAGGGAAACAACCCAGACCGCCAGCUAAGGUCCCAAAGUCAUGGUUAAGUGGGAAACGAUGUGGGAAGGCCCAGACAGCCAGGAUGUUGGCUUAGAAGCAGCCAUCAUUUAAAGAAAGCGUAAUAGCUCACUGGUCGAGUCGGCCUGCGCGGAAGAUGUAACGGGGCUAAACCAUGCACCGAAGCUGCGGCAGCGACGCUGAUGCGUUGUUGGGUAGGGGAGCGUUCUGUAAGCCUGUGAAGGUGUGCUGUGAGGCAUGCUGGAGGUA